CAGUAGCCGCGGUAAUACGGAGGGUGCAAGCGUUAAUCGGAAUUACUGGGCGUAAAGCGUGCGUAGGCGGUGAGUUAAGUCUGCUGUGAAAUCCCCGGGCUCAACCUGGGAAUGGCAGUGGAUACUGGCUCGCUAGAGUGUGUCAGAGGAUGGUGGAAUUCCCGGUGUAGCGGUGAAAUGCGUAGAGAUCGGGAGGAACAUCAGUGGCGAAGGCGGCCAUCUGGGACAACACUGACGCUGAGGCACGAAAGCGUGGGGAGCAAACAGGAUUAGAUACCCCAGUAGUCCCUGUCUCUUAUAC
rnacentral:rRNA from 1 species